UGUAAGCGUAUACCAAAGUUGUUGCAGUUAAAACGCUCGUAGUCGGAAUUUGGCAGUUCCGGAUGUGUGCACGUCGUGUGCGCACUUCGCGGGGAUUGCUUUUGUGGUCUUGCGUAGGAUGAGGCACUUUUAUUAGUGAACGUCCUCACACAACCACUUUUUACUGUGAGAAAAUCAGAGUGCUCAAAGCAGGCAUUUGCCGUGAAUGUAUUAGCAUGGAACAAUAGAAUAGGACUUGGUUCUAUUUUGUUGGUUUGUUGGGACUGAGUAAUGAUUAAGAGGGACAGUUGGGGGCAUUUGUAUUUCGGUGCUAGAGGUGAAAUUCUUAGAUUACCGAAAGACAAACUGCUGCGAAAGCGUCUGCCAAGGAUGUUUUCAUUGA
rnacentral:rRNA from 1 species